AACCUUAUGGACCUGCGGGCGUAUACCUGCGGAGGGAUCAUUAACCUUUCAAAUCAGGGUGCGUCGCGGCCCCCGAGGAGCGGAAACAAUCCUUGGGAGGUUUGCGGGGGCUUCGCGCCCCCCAUAACGCACGCACGACUGCCAUCCUUACUUUACGAGCACCUUCUGUUCUCCCUCGGCGGGGCAACCUGCCGUUGGAACCGAAUAAACUCUUUUUGCAUCUAGCAUUACCUGUUCCGA
rnacentral:misc_RNA from 1 species